GCUUACGGCCAUACCACCCUGAGCACGCCCGAUCUCAUCUGAUCUCGGAAGCUAAGCAGGGUCGGGCCUGGUUAGUACUUGGAUGGGAGACCGACUGGGAAUACCAGAUGCUGUAAGCU
ensembl:rRNA 5S_rRNA 5S ribosomal RNA